AAUAAGAUGCCUGAUUAAAAGGAUUAUUUUGAUAGAAUAAAUUAUGUAUUUUUACUCUUAUUG
rnacentral:tRNA from 1 species